GGUAGGGUUAGGGUAGGGUAAGAGGUAGGAGUAGGUUUAGGGGCAGGGUUAGAAAUAGGGUUACCCUACCCUAACCCUACCCCUACCCCAACCACUACCCCAACCACUACCCCUACCCCAACCCUUAACCCUACCCCUAAACCUACCUCUACCCCAACCACUAACCCUACC